rfam:Schistosoma rodhaini strain Burundi genome assembly, scaffold: SROB_scaffold0008496
AUUCAGCUGAUGAGUCCCAAAUAGGACGAAAUGCGCAUCAAACUAGAU